rnacentral:rRNA from 1 species
GCGGUUGGCUAGUGCUAAUUUCGCAUGAGCUCUAGCGGAGGAGAGAGAUGGAGUCCAGCAAACCGUCUAGGAGAGGACUUGCCUUCGGGCUUGAAACCAAGCGGGGAGUAGGGUUACUACUGCACUGUAGAUGUGGACUAGGUGCAAACGCAGUGUCUUGCUGUCAGGCUAGCUGACUCGGUCGGUCGCAUGCGACUAGGCCUUGUUGAUUGGUCUUGGGGGUGCGGCGCUGCCCUGGUGCUAUCCUCGGUGUAAAAGUUGGUCAUCUCUCCGAGCCCGUCUUGCAAACACGGACCAAGGAGUCUAGCGUAUACGCGAGUACUUUGGGUGGAGUGCCCAUAGGCGCAAUGAAACCGGUAGGAAGGUCUCUUCGUGAGAGCUGAUAUGCGAGCCCGUAUGCAGCUAGUCGGUGUACGCGGAGCAGCAUAGCCUUUCCGUCUCGAUCUGCUUGCAGUGGGACGUGAGGUAGAGCGUAUGCGCUGGUACCCGAAAGAUGGUGAACUAUGCGCUGAGGCGAGUGAUGAAGUCCAGGGGAAACGUCUGGUGGAGGUCCGAAGCGCUUCUGACGUGCAAAUCGAUCGUCUGACUUGGGUAUAGGGGCKAAAGACUAAUCGAACCAUCUGGAGUAGCUGCCCC